GAAUUUGUGGCGCAAUGGUAGCGCAUCUGACUCUGUCAGAAGGUUGCGUGUUCGAUUCACGUCUGAUUCU